GCGGGCGUGGCGAAAUUGGUAGACGCACUAGACUUAGGAUCUAGUGUCGGAAGACGUGGGGGUUCGAGUCCCUUCGCCCGUA
rnacentral:tRNA from 1 species